UCAAGGAAAGAGGCUAGUUUGGUCUCUGUCUCACGAAGAGGGAGAUGGGGGGCACAUCAUUCGGGGCCGCCAUGCCAAGUCUGCUGCCUACCCAACAGGCUCCUCAGGGUGUCCCUGUUUGGAAAACCCUUCAGGGCUUAACAACCAAGCCCUUCAAGCCCUGGUUCCUGCCCCUGUCUUUCUGCGUCUGCAAAUGUUCCAGGUCCCAGUCCUCCUGGUUGAACCAAUAUGAGCCAGAUGCCUGGCUGUUCCCAUGACACGGCCUGACCCACCAAGACAUAAGAGGUCCAAAAUUGUGGGUCCACCGCCCAGCAUCUAGGGGUCCUCCAGAGACCCCUUUUUGACCUCAGUCCCCUUUGUGUCUCCAUUUUUGUUUGUGUUUCACCACAGUCUUCUUGUUAUCCUGUCUCUGUUCCUGUGGUCCCUUUACCUGUCUACCCUGUUGUGGUCUUUGUUUUGGUCCUUUCCCCUGUUGUCUUUAAUCCUACCCUGGCAGUUGUGUCCUUAGAUGUGUUGUUAGGUUUAUCUUAUGCCCCAAUCUGUUUUUUUCCUGUUCUGGUGUAUAUGGUGUACGGCGUCCUCCCUGUGAUGUCUGGUGCCUGGUCUCUUGUCUGUGCAGUGUUUCAUCUGAUCUUGACCUGUCUGGUCCCAUCUUGUUCCUCAAAGUGUCCUGUCUGAGUCUCUCACAUGCCAGUUUCUGUCACUGUUAGUCCUGUCCACCCUAGUUGAACCUGGUGUCAUUGUUCUUUUUGCCUGGCCUUGCUCCAGUUUCUAGUUCUGCUUUCUCUCCCCAGGUCCUAUGUCCCAAGAGCCCAUUCGUCUGGUGUUCGACCCUGUCCUGUUCGCUGGGUCCAGUCCUGCGUUGUGGCUGUGAGGGCCCUGAUGAUGCAGUCCUCUUGUCUGGUCCCAUGGGUCCCCUCCCUGCAUGUCCGGAGGGUGCGUCUUUGCAGGGCUGGGCACUGUCAUGUCCAGCCCGCUCCGCCUGUCUAAUCCCUGUGUUUUCCCUUGGGUGUGGCUCCAAAUCAGCCACACCUAUGACCCAUCAGUUUUACUUCUUUUUCCUGCCCUCCUGUUGAUCAAUCACAGCUGCUUUCUGUUUUCUUCUCAUUAGCCUAGUUUAUAAGCAUUUCUCAGUUCAGUCUCUCUUGUCCAUUCAUUGUUACCUGUUUGCGUCUGCUAUCUAUUUAUAUAUGUAAAGGUUUUCUAUAGAACCAUUUGGUUUAGCAUGCAAAGAACCCCAAGAGUUAUUUUAACUGAACCCUCUGAAAUGGUUCUACAUAGAAUUUUUUUGUGUGUACUUUAUUCAAUGCAAUAGAAUGGAGCUUUUUGCACAUCACUGAGUCCCUGAGGCUGUUACUUGCACUUCAACUGUCACUACCAUCUUGUAUAUGCUACACAUACUGCAGCGUCCUCGUCAUACCUGAUCCUCCAGUCCCGCCGUCCUCCGCCCUCCUCUUCGUCGUUCCCCUUCGUGCCCCGUGCCUGUGCUUCAGUGUUGGACAGCUCUACCUGGUAUCGACCCUCGCCCACGUCUACCGAUUACGAUUCUCGCCUGCCGAUUCUAAGUUCCGUCUGCCUUUCCCCUCCCCUAAGCACCGCCUCGGCGUUGCCGCUGUUCUAUCAAUAAACCGAUCGUUUCCCUGCA